UCCGGAGGAGGCAAUCGUUAUCCGGAAUUAUUGGGCGUAAAGCGUCCGUAGGUGGUGAUUCAAGUCAGCGGUUAAAGCGUGGGGCUUAACCUCAUACAGGCCGUUGAAACUGGAUUGCUAGAGUGCGGUAGGGGUCGAGGGAAUUCCCAGUGUAGCGGUGAAAUGCGUAGAUAUUGGGAAGAACACCGGUGGCGAAAGCGCUCGGCUGGGCCUGCACUGACACUGAGGGACGAAAGCUAGGGGAGAGAAAGGG
rnacentral:rRNA from 1 species